rnacentral:tmRNA from 1 species
GGGGAUGUAUUGUCUCGACAGGAUUGCUCUUUAAAAACUGCAAGCCGAAUAGGAAACAUUAUUCGUUAAAUAUUGUUUCAAAACACAAACGGCAAUGAUAUUGCUCGUUACCUGAAGCAGUUCGCUGCUGAGAUGGAAGGUUUUGUGAAUCCAGUAAUGGGUCUACAACCAACUCUCCGCGUAGCUUACAGCUAAGGUUGCUUUAGAAAUUGUUCUCUUUCUGACGGAACACUAAAGUACGUACAAAGUCAGGAUGCUGUUGAUAAGGUGUUGGUUGAUCCGUAUUAACAAAAGACAAUUCAAUCAUUCAUUAGUUUUCCUUCUAGCUGGUUACAACUAAUGAACAAAAAUUAACUAGAUAAGCUUGUAGAAGUUUUUUCAGAAACAAUUUUGGACGGGGGUUCAAAGCCCCCCAUCUCCACAA